CGGCGCCUGUCCUAGAACCCUAGCCUCCCUGACCCCGGCAACCGCCUCCCUCCACCCCGGCGUCCAACCGCCCUUCACCCCGGCGCAGCGCAGCCACAACUUCUCCAUCACUUGACGGGUUUUUCUAAAGCCAAAAUCAAACACUCACAUUAGUUUGUUUGAUUUUUUGUUUCUCUGCUCGGAGGUGUUCUCUGUGCAAAAUCAGAUCAGAAAUUCAAUUGCUCAGAGGUGAUUCUAGCAACUCUGCUCGGAGGUGUUGAUCUCAGUAUUGUAGGUGCUCUUUUCUGGAAACUAUUUUGCUUCUAAUAGAAAUUUACUUUAAGAUAAAUUCCAUAAAUAUUUCCAAGUCUAUUGCAUAUUUGUCUCCUAUGAAUCGCUCUUAGGAAAAUAACGUAAUCGUUCUUCUCUUUCACUCAGCUUUAUUGUGACUGUGAGUCAUUUUCUUCGUGGUUUAUUGCAGUAUAUCAAGUUACCAGAUAAUUAUGUUAAUUGAUAAGAUAUAUCUGCUGUGAUAUGCAAUAUGUGUAAAUGAAAACAGGCACGCGAGAGAGAUAAGCAAUAACCUGAUAAUUGUGUUAAUUGAUGAGUCUUAAUAUCAACAGAAGAAUUGUUAUCCAUGAGUCUUAGAGAAGUUUGAAGUUGUUAUCUGACAGCCAAGUUCUGGUAUGUGUCACGUGACAAAUUGGUAUAAGAAGCUUUGUAUUGAUAGGAAACAUUAGUUCUAUAUUUCUCUACAGAAAAGGACAAGCAUUAGAUUUUAAAUAAUUUAUGUGCAUUAAUCUAUUGCUCAAUUAGCCUUGAUUACAUAUUUUCAUUAACUUGUAGGAAGAUGGCUGGUGGGAUUAGUUUCAUGACAUGUUAUGCACGAACUGCAGUCAUGCAGAACAAGUAGGUGAUAAUUUAGUGCAAAUGACCAUAACUAACAGGUGUUCAUGUAUUUUACAAUGGCUUCUGUAAACUCUUCUCUGUUUUAUUUUUCAGCCGCAGGACUUAUGGGCUUCUCUUUGAUUGGAUUUAUCCUGCUUACAUGCCAGUUCUUCUAAGAGGAAUCUCACAUUGGGCUGACACACCAGAGGUUGGUUUACAAAGAUAGUCCUUCAUAAGUUCUAUGUUUCUCACAUUCUGUAAUCUAUUAAUAUGUAUUAAAUGGAAGCAGUUGAUAUCAGUCAUUUUGUUUUUCGAACCAGAUACUUAGGGAUUUUAAGUUAGAGCAAGUCUAGCACAACAUGCAGGACUGAUCAAGAAGUGCAUUAACUAGUAGAAAAUGCCUUGAUGUAGAAAAUGAGAAACAAUCACUAACGCCUAGUUGAACUUUAUGCUGCAACUCUUCUGCUUGAUAAUUUUUAAUCAGGUGCAUUAUGUGGUCGAAUUUUUUUUAGAGUUGUGUACUUAAUUAUCUAAUAUUGAACAACCUAUGCACUUUCUUCUUCUUCUUCUUCUUCUUCUUCUUCUUCUUCUUCUUCUUCUCAAUUAGUGUUUAUUUUUAUUUCAUAAUUAUAUGUAUAUUCUAAGUAUGAUUCGUUUUAUUUUUUAUUUUUAUUUUUCCUCGUUUUUCAUCGUUUAACAUAAUUCCAGUCAGUCAGUUCUGAUAGAACAAGAAUGAAGUAGUUGAACCUUAAUUUAGCGGCAGUAAAUUUUGAAUACAAACAAUGAACAUUCUCUCUUUGAUAGUGCUAAUGCUGAGCAUUAUAUCAAAGGAAGACCCCUGUUUAAAUGUUAAGUGUGCGUAACUUUUCUAUCCUACUGACAGCUUCUUAUUUACUCCAUUUAUAUUCCUAAAAAUGUGCAGUGCAUUGAAAAACUCCUUGAUAUAUCAGCUGCUACCCUAGAGAAGAGUGAUGAUGUUAUUGGCAUAGAAACUGCAAAUGUGAGUCCUUAUUAUGAUUUUAGAAUUGGUAUGAGGUCCUGAUAUCUGGUUUAUAGAGUCAAAUCCUUUUAUGAUUUUAGAAUUGGUAUCUGCCAUCUUACGAUGAGGUCCAUUUUGAUCUCUAAUGAUUGUAAUUCCAAUAUCUGGUUUAUGUGUAUGCCUCCAGGAAUGCAUUAAGUUUUUGAAGGAUGUUCAGAUUGGAGAUCAGGACAUCUCUCCUAGUCACUUCCAACCUUCUGAUUCUCUUUUGAAUAUUUAUUUAGAAGCUUGUCCCACAAUCUUAAAGGUAAAAUUGUGACAUAGAUUUUUAUCUCAGCCAGCUUGAGAUCACUAGUAUGUGACCUUUCAUAAAAUUGUUAUACAGGUUGGUGUGCUUUCCUCUAAUCACGUAUCUGAGGAAAUUGAGAAAUUGGAUGUCUCUCAUAUGCGUGCUAAUUCAAAAAUGAGAAGUGCUGGGGGUUCUGAUGCCGCUGCUGAUGACAUUGAAACAGAAGCAAACUCAUACUUCCAUCAAAUGUUUUCUGGUCAUCUGUCUAUGGAUGCUAUGAUUCAAAUGCUCACUCGAUUCAAGGAAUCUUCAGACAAAAGGUACUACCCCCUCCCUAAAUUAUAAGAUUAUCGCUCUAGUAUGUUGCUUGGAAAGGUUCACACAAAUUUGGAUUAUCGCUCUAGUAUGUUGCAUGAGAUUAUUGAAUCCAUAGUCUGGUUUUGUUGUUGGAAUACAAAGCUUGGAGCUUCUGUACUUUGACAUUGAUUUAGAAUGGGAUUGAGUAUUUCACAAGUGGUGUAUGUGUUUGUAUAUUAUUAGGGGAUGUUACUUCCAAGAAGGGACGAAGAUCAAGAUGAAGAUGAGCGUGAAAGAAGCGUUUGAGAGGUCGAUGAGGACUUUGUCGGAGUCACUACUACAAAAUGACACAUAUAGCAAAGUUGCGCGUAUUUGUAAUAUUUUUUUUUAAAUUAAACAUAUAGCUAAAUAGAAUAUAUGUGAUGUUUUAUUAUAUUUGGAUGCUAAUGUAUGAAUAUUUUGGAUGUUAUAUAAUAUAUGUUAUCGAUGGCAAUGUCA
rnacentral:lncRNA from 1 species